CGGAUUGGCGAAUUAUUGUAUUGGGCCGAGCUGGAUUUGAACCAGCGUAGACAUAUUGCCAACGAAUUUACAGUCCGUCCCCAUUAACC
rnacentral:tRNA from 15 species